rnacentral:rRNA from 1 species
CCCUUAGAUGUCCUGGGCCGCACGCGCGCUACACUGAUGCAUGCAACGAGUUUAUAACCUUGGCCUGAAAGGUCUGGGUAAUCUUUUGAACGUGCAUCGUGAUAGGGAUAGAUUAUUGCAAUUGUUAAUCUUGAACGAGGAAUUCCUAGUAAACGCGAGUCAUCAGCUCGCAUUGAUUACGUCCCUGCCCUUUGUACACACCGCCCGUCGCACCUACCGAUUGAAUGCUCAGGUGAGCCAUUCGGACCUUCAUCAUGCCGGUUUCCGGUUUUGAUGAGGGAAAGUCUUGCGAACCUUAUCAUUUAGAGGAAGGAGAAGUCGUAACA